UCAGUGUCACAUAAAUUACCAAAGCAUUUUACACUAUAUAUUGUCCUCAAAAUGCACUAGACGUAAACUCUUGUUGAGCUUUUAUACGUUUAAGUCCUUUCAAGAUGGGUGCUGAGAACAGCCAUGUUGCUAAUGCCUGUGAUGAUGAAAUAUGGAUCUUUUUUGAGUCAAGAAAGCUGUACCCUAGUGAAAUAUUAUUAGAAGCAAGUAUGGAUGGAGGGAUCAAUGUGUCAGAUAAACUGGAAGCCAGUUUGCAUGUAGGGUCCAAAAUUACUGUGGUCCUUAAACCAGAUUUAAGGAUCCAGUAUAUUCGAGUUCCCUCUCGUGAGGUGACAAAUAUAAAGCAACAGGGCGACGUUUAUGUGACCGCCAUAGCCAAGCGCAGCAACAAGGAUGAGCUGAUGUGCUAUAACUUCCUGGUUCCAAGUGAUCGAUCAAUCAUCGUUAUUGACAAUGGAUUAGUCAAGUUCGCAAAAUAUGGGGCACUGUGGAAAGAUGAGGAUGGAGUGUAUCACUGAAAUAAAAAGCAAGCCUUGUGAUGAUUUCCACCCCACAAAAGAAGAUUAUUUUUUGUGACGUGUGACAUUAACAACACAAAAUAUUCUUUUGCUUAAUACACUUGCUAUUCAUUUUAAAGAAAAAGAAAAAAAAUUCAAAGAAUUUCACCAAGUACAAUAAAAAAUAAAGACUGAUCUUUAAAAAAAAUGAAAGAGAA